GGAUUUCCGGAUUGAUUCCACCGGAAUCGUGGCUCCUCGACCCAUUUUUAUUUGGCCCCACAUCGGAAAGAACGGAUCCGCAGCAACCUUGCCCACCAUGGAGGCGGUGAUAGCGGCGGCGGAAGAGAGCGUGCGUGCCCAAUGGGGCUACGAAGACGGUGGUCGUGGCCGAGGACGGGCGAUAUCACCAGGGCGACAACAAUUACGGCGGCGGCAACAACCAUGGCGGCCUGCGGUGAGCGUAGCAACUACGGCGGCCGCGGCGGCCGAGGAGGAGGAGGAGGAGGCCAGAGUCAGCCGCCCCCGACAUGCACCAAGCCGCACUGCCGCAGGGCCUCCCCUCUUCGAGCGCUACCACGCAGAGGCAACACAGCUCGGGAAGAAGUUCCAGGCGAUGGACAUCAGUCGUGCCGCUGUAGAUCCAAUCGACCGGCGAUGGAGCAGUUAUUGGCGUUCCUCCGCGCGGCACCAGAUUUUGAAUUCAGUGUGGUAGAGAACACCCACAAAAUCAUCACAAGGAUUCAUGAACCUACUUUCGAAUGGAAGAAAUGUGAUGUUCAAUUGCCAUUAACCCGAUCGAUCUCUUGCAUGGGGAAGGGGAGACCGAGGAGGAAAUGGCGACCAAGAGGUGCGCAGGCACCCUGGGUGACAAGGGCCUCAGGGGGGAGAAGGUGUUCCUUAGUGCCGAUCUGAACGUUCUGCUGGACGACGGCCUGAACAUCACUGGUGACAACCGCAUCCGCGCCUCCAUGCCGUCCAUCAAGUUCCUCAUGGGGAAGGGCGCCAAGGUUGUCCUGGCCAACCAUCUGGUGAGCGCACGCUUCUGCCAUUCAGUCAGCCUCCCGUGUGGCGCACGACUGUAGCUGCUUGAUGUCGUAAGCAACACCACUGGAUGGCCCAGUCACCCCUUCAUCGCAGACCUCGCUGAAGACUAACCAACUAGACGCAGAUCCAUUUCAUUCUACUAAGUGUCCCAAGCUGUGUAUGCUAGCCUCCUCCGCUACAUUUGCAGGCCGCCGAGUCCAACUCUGCGGUGCAGAUCACCCGCCCACCGCGCUGCGCAACUCACGAUGCAGGCGGCCCUCCUCCACGGUUCAUCAUUCAUGCGAGGGAUAUGAAAGAUGAAACAAAAGUAAAAGGUGUUUAUGCCUACGGGCUAUGGAGCAUCAUAAUGUUGGAGGAGUGUCGUGCCGAUUUUAUAAAUCCAGUAGCAUCCUACUACUCGCAGUUUCUGUGGUUCAAUCAAAUCAAUAGUACAAUUUUCAAAUGAUAAAUUUGUUACGGUUAGAUAUAAUUUUUGAAGUUUCGAGGUUUUGUGAGAUGAGAUGAUGGCUCAUAUAUGUCAUUUUGGCAAAAGUCCCACUACGGUCAUAUCUUGUAGUUCAAUUAGAUAAUGCAGUUUUCAAAUGAUACGUGAUAUGGUGAUAUGCUUUUAUUUAUGUA